rnacentral:rRNA from 5 species
CCACCAGCUAAGGUCCCAAAAUAUAUGUUAAGUGGAAAAGGAUGUGGCGUUGCCCAGACAACUAGGAUGUUGGCUUAGAAGCAGCCAUCAUUUAAAGAGUGCGUAAUAGCUCACUAGUCGAGUGACACUGCGCCGAAAAUGUACCGGGGCUAAACAUAUUACCGAAGCUGUGGAUUGUCCUUUGGACAAUGGUAGGAGAGCGUUCUAAGGGCGUUGAAGCAUGAUCGUAAGGACAUGUGGAGCGCUUAGAAGUGAGAAUGCCGGUGUGAGUAGCGAAAGACGGGUGAGAAUCCCGUCCACCGAUUGACUAAGGUUUCCAGAGGAAGGCUCGUCCGCUCUGGGUUAGUCGGGUCCUAAGCUGAGGCCGACAGGCGUAGGCGAUGGAUAACAGGUUGAUAUUCCUGUACCACCUAUAAUCGUUUUAAUCGAUGGGGGGACGCAGUAGGAUAGGCGAAGCGUGCGAUUGGAUUGCACGUCUAAGCAGUAAGGCUGAGUAUUAGGCAAAUCCGGUACUCGUUAAGGCUGAGCUGUGAUGGGGAGAAGACAUUGUGUCUUCGAGUCGUUGAUUUCACACUGCCGAGAAAAGCCUCUAGAUAGAAAAUAGGUGCCCGUACCGCAAACCGACACAGGUAGUCAAGAUGAGAAUUCUAAGGUGAGCGAGCGAACUCUCGUUAAGGAACUCGGCAAAAUGACCCCGUAACUUCGGGAGAAGGGGUGCUCUUUAGGGUUAACGCCCAGAAGAGCCGCAGUGAAUAGGCCCAAGCGACUGUUUAUCAAAAACACAGGUCUCUGCUAAACCGUAAGGUGAUGUAUAGGGGCUGACGCCUGCCCGGUGCUGGAAGGUUAAGAGGAGUGGUUAGCUUCUGCGAAGCUACGAAUCGAAGCCCCAGUAAACGGCGGCCGUAACUAUAACGGUCCUAAGGUAGCGAAAUUCCUUGUCGGGUAAGUUCCGACCCGCACGAAAGGCGUAACGAUUUGGGCACUGUCUCAACGAGAGACUCGGUGAAAUCAUAGUACCUGUGAAGAUGCAGGUUACCCGCGACAGGACGGAAAGACCCCGUGGAGCUUUACUGUAGCCUGAUAUUGAAAUUCGGCACAGCUUGUACAGGAUAGGUAGGAGCCUUUGAAACGUGAGCGCUAGCUUACGUGGAGGCGCUGGUGGGAUACUACCCUAGCUGUGUUGGCUUUCUAACCCGCACCACUUAUCGUGGUGGGAGACAGUGUCAGGCGGGCAGUUUGACUGGGGCGGUCGCCUCCUAAAAGGUAACGGAGGCGCUCAAAGGUUCCCUCAGAAUGGUUGGAAAUCAUUCAUAGAGUGUAAAGGCAUAAGGGAGCUUGACUGCGAGACCUACAAGUCGAGCAGGGUCGAAAGACGGACUUAGUGAUCCGGUGGUUCCGCAUGGAAGGGCCAUCGCUCAACGGAUAAAAGCUACCCCGGGGAUAACAGGCUUAUCUCCCCCAAGAGUUCACAUCGACGGGGAGGUUUGGCACCUCGAUGUCGGCUCAUCGCAUCCUGGGGCUGUAGUCGGUCCCAAGGGUUGGGCUGUUCGCCCAUUAAAGCGGUACGCGAGCUGGGUUCAGAACGUCGUGAGACAGUUCGGUCCCUAUCCGUCGUGGGCGUAGGAAAUUUGAGAGGAGCUGUCCUUAGUACGAGAGGACCGGGAUGGACAUACCUCUGGUGUACCAGUUGUCGUGCCAACGGCAUAGCUGGGUAGCUAUGUGUGGACGGGAUAAGUGCUGAAAGCAUCUAAGCAUGAAGCCCCCCUCAAGAUGAGAUUUCCCAACUUCGGUUAUAAGAUCCCUCAAAGAUGAUGAGGUUAAUAGGUUCGAGGUGGAAGCAUGGUGACAUGUGGAGCUGACGAAUACUAAUCGAUCGAAGACUUAAUCAA